rnacentral:rRNA from 1 species
CUCCUACGGGGCGCAGCAGCCGCGGUAAUACGUAGGGGGCAAGCGUUAUCCGGAUUUACUGGGUGUAAAGGGAGCGUAGACGGCAGUGCAAGUCUGGAGUGAAAGGCGGGGGCUCAACCCCCGGACUGCUCUGGAAACUGUACGGCUGGAGUGCAGGAGAGGUAAGUGGAAUUCCUAGUGUAGCGGUGAAAUGCGUAGAUAUUAGGAGGAACACCAGUGGCGAAGGCGGCUUACUGGACUGUAACUGACGUUGAGGCUCGAAAGCGUGGGGAGCAAACAGGAUUAGAUACCCGGGUAGUCCCAGA